CCUACGGGGGGCAGCAGUGGGGAAUUUUGGACAAUGGGGGCAACCCUGAUCCAGCCAUUCCGCGUGAGUGAAGAAGGCCUUCGGGUUGUAAAGCUCUUUUGUCCGGAGCGAAACGGGCGGCCCUAAUACGGUCGUCUACUGACGGUACCGGAAGAAUAAGCACCGGCUAACUACGUGCCAGCAGCCGCGGUAAUACGUAGGGUGCUACCGUUAAUCAGGAUUACUGGGGGGAAAGCGUGCGCAGGCGGUUAAAUCCCCGGGCUCAACCUGGGAAUGGCAUUUGGGACUGCAAGGCUGGAGUGUGGCAGAGGGGACUAGAAUUCCUGGUGUAGCAGUGAAAUGCGUAGAUAUCAGGAGGAAUACCGAUGGCGAAGGCAGGUCCCUGGGUUAACACUGACGCUCAUGCACGAAAGCGUGGGGAGCAAACAGGAUUAGAUACCCCUGUAGUC
rnacentral:rRNA from 1 species